AGCGGCGGACGGGUGAGUAACGCGUGGGUAACCGUGCCUCAUACAGGGGGAUAACAAGUUGGAAACGGACUGCUAAUACCGCAUAAGCGCACAGUACCGCAUGGUACGGUGUGAAAAACUCCGGUGGUAUGAGAUGGACCCGCGUCUGAUUAGGUAGUUGGUGGGUAACGGCCUACCAAGCCGACGAUCAGUAGCCGACCUGAGAGGGUGACCGGCCACAUUGGGACUGAGACACGGCCCAA
rnacentral:rRNA from 1 species